rnacentral:tRNA from 1 species
GGAGAGAUGGCCGAGUGGUUGAAGNNGCUUGGAAAGCGUGUUUAGGGGAAACUCUAACGUGGGUUCGAAUCCCACUCUCUCCGCCA